UGGUCCGAUCCGGUGUUGAGAUCAUCAGAAGCCCUCUCGAAGCCAUCUGCCGACCUUUCCGAAAUAGCCGUUGGUCCCUGUCAUGAGCUGCCGCGUAUGCCGCGGUUCAACGUGUUCAAGGUGUGCGAAUUGCGGAUAGACCAGGAGGCCGGUCGGCACCGCGAACGAUGCGCUCUUGGCCUCGUUGGGCAGCCGGCCGAAGCCGAGCGGGCGCC
rnacentral:misc_RNA from 1 species